UACGUAGGGGGCGAGCGUUGUCCGGAGUUACUGGGCGUAAAGCGCACGCAGGCGGUCUGCUAAGUUUGGAGUGACAGUUGGUGGCUUAACUGCCAAAGUGCUUCGAAAACUGACAGACUUGAGGGCUUCAGAGGGACACGGAAUUCCGGGUGGAGUGGUGAAAUGCGUAGAGAUCCGGAGGAACACCAAAGGCGAAGGCAGGUCUCUGGGCAUUAACUGACGCUGAGGAGCGAAAGCAUGGGGAGCGAACAGG
rnacentral:rRNA from 1 species